rnacentral:rRNA from 1 species
UACGUAGGUGGCAAGCGUUGUCCGGAUUUACUGGGCGUAAAGCGCGCGCAGGCGGUUUCUCAAGUCAGUGGUGAAAGCCCGGAGCUCAACUCCGGAACUGCCAUUGAAACUGUGAAACUUGAGGACGAGAGAGGUGAGUGGAAUUCCCAGUGUAGAGGUGAAAUUCGUAGAUAUUGGGAAGAACACCGGUGGCGAAGGCGGCUCACUGGCUCGUUUCUGACGCUCAGGCGCGACAGCGUGGGGAUCAAACAGG